rnacentral:misc_RNA from 1 species
UUAUGCAGUGGCAAGUGCGGUGUAGACAGUGUGCUUUGCGACUAGUCCGAGCGAUGACUCUCCUGUUGCAUCAAGACGCCGCCGCCGCCGCUGUUUUAAGGAGAACUAGAAUGAUGCUGCUACUUUUGCUGUUGAUAUUCUCCUUGUCGUCGUUUCCAUCAGUCACCGCUAAGUGCCCGCACAAAUGCUGGUGCGAAAAAGAUAAAGUCUACUGCAUUGACCAGGAGCUGGACCGGAUACCCACCCACAUACCUCCGGUUACCAAAAAGCUGGACUUGAGCGAUAAUAAAAUCAGGGAUACCGAACUGAAAUCAUUAGCUCAUCUGACAGACUUACAGCACUUGGACUUGAGCUACAAUAAAAUUAGGGAUAUCGAAUCAUUAGCUCAUCUGACAGAGUUAGAGACCUUACAUUUAAGCAACAAUAAUAUAAGUGAAGUGAAAAAUGGUGCAUUUGCAAACCUUUCGAAGCUUCAGGCAUUAUUCUUGCAUAGAAAUAAAAUCGAAAACAUCGAGACUGGGGCUUUUAAUAACUUAACGAGUUUGAAAGAAUUGCACUUGUAUUACAACAACAUUCAUAAGCUUGAUUUGGAAAUGUUUAAGGGACUUACAAAACUGAAUAAACUAUUCUUGAGUGGAAAUAAAAUCGAUAACAUCGAGACUGGGGCUUUUAAUAAUUUAACGAGUUUGGAAGUAUUACACUUGGAUUACAACAACAUCCAUAAGCUCGAUUUGGAAAUGUUUAAGGGACUUACAAAACUGAAUAGACUGUUUUUAGACCACAAUAUGAUAAGAAAUAUUCCACCUGGAACAUUCGAUUCAUUAACGUCGUUGAGUCUUUUACAGAUUGACCAAAACCCGUUGACGUGCGAUUGCAAUAUUCUGUUGCUUGUAAACCUGCUAAAAGAAAGAAGUGAUGUACUCGGAGAUUACGACCCGUCGUGUCAUUUUCCCGUAGAAAUGAGCGAAAUACCGUUGAAGGAAAUAACUGAAAACGAUUUUAAUUGCACGUCUCCGGAUGUAAUCGUGGUACCAGAGAACAAGACUGUGUCGGUCGGUGAACAGUUACAACUCUCGUGCAAGGCCGUAGGAGACCCGGAACCUUUUAUAACGUGGGCCAAAGACGACAUCGAUCUAGAACUUGGCCAAAGAGUUCAGGUAUUUCAAAACAAUACAUUGAUUAUAUCAAAAGUGGAAAGAACGGACGGCGGUAAAUAUAAGUGCGUGGCGUCCAAUUAUCUUGGACGAAAAUCUUUCGAGGCGAUGGUUAACGUAAACGGUAUUUCAAAACAAUACAUUGAUUAUAUCUAAAGUGGAAAGAACGGACAUCGGUCAAUAUAAGUGCGUGGCGUCCAAUUAUCUUGGACGAAAAUCUUUCGAGGCGAUGGUUAACGUAAAAGGUUUUGCGGAAAAUGGUUGAAAUACCAUGUAUGGAGUAAUACCAUGUUUUUUUUUUAUUAUUAUUAUUAUUAUCUUAACGAAUUUACUAUUGUAUAACGACAUAAUUUUGUAAACGAUUUAUGAUUAUUAUUAUUUUUGUGACUUGUGAAUUGUAUAUUUUACUAUUAACAUGCAUAUUGUAAAAUAUAAUAUAAGUUACAACUGCGGAAGUGAAGAACUACAAUAUAGUUUAUAGUUAAUUAUUUUACUGUACAAUCGAUUGUUUUUAUUUUAUACGAUAAUUUUAUAGACACUGUACAAUCACCAUUCUUUCCAAACUUCGGAACACUGCGACACUAAAAAAUCUGUUGUCUUGACAAUUUUCUUGAAAAUUGGUGAUAUCACACCAAAUAUCUUUAAGCAUGCUUUUUAGUGCACUUAGUUAUUUUUACUGCACUUAAAUAUGUGAUAUCAUAAAUAAAUGCUGAGUAAAUCGAAUGAAAGUACA